rnacentral:rRNA from 1 species
CCCUUAGAUGUUCUGGGCCGCACGCGCGCUACACUGACGAAUGCAACGAGCUUAUAACCUUGGCCGAAAGGUCUGGGUAAUCUCCAAAUUUCGUCGUGAUGGGGAUAGAUUAUUGCAAUUAUUAAUCUUCAACGAGGAAUGCCUAGUAAGCGCAAGUCAUCAGCUUGCGUUGAUUACGUCCCUGCCCUUUGUACACACCGCCCGUCGCUCCUACCGAUUGAAUGGUCCGGUGAAGCGUUCGGAUCGUGGCCUUUGGACGGUUCGCCGUCUGUUGGCUGCGGGAAGUUCGUUAAACCUUAUCAUUUAGAGGAAGGAGAAGUCGUAACA